rnacentral:ribozyme from 1 species
UGCCCAGCAACUUCUAUCCCUACCUCCUCGCGGUACUGGCCGGGGUACGAGUAACCUUAGGGAAGAUCGGGUAACCACCCCCGGUGGGAACUUUGGUCGUAUGCUGACAGGGAAGG